rfam:Sus scrofa chromosome 2.
UCCCUGGUAGCCUAAUGGUUAAGGAUUCAGUGUUGUCACUGCUGUGGCCCAGGUUUGAUCCCUGGCCUGGGAA